UACGGGGGGAGCAAGCGUUGUUCGGAUUUACUGGGCGUAAAGGGCGCGCAGGCGGUCGCGUGGGCCAUCGCGUGAAAGCCCCCGGCUCAACCGGGCGGUGGCGGGUGGGACCGCGCGGCUGGAGGGUGGUAGGGGCCGGUGGAAUUCCCGGUGUAGUGGUGAAAUGCGUAGAUACCGGGAGGAACACCCGCAGCGAAGGCGGCCGGCUGGGCCAACCCUGACGCUGAGGCGCGAAGGCUCGGGGAGCGAACGGG
rnacentral:rRNA from 1 species